rnacentral:rRNA from 1 species
AUUGAACGCUGGCGGCAGGCCUAACACAUGCAAGUCGAACGGCAGCGGGGGAUAGCUUGCUAUCCUGCCGGCGAGUGGCGGACGGGCAAGGAAUGCAUGGGGAGCGUCCAGUCGAGCGGGGUGACAACUGGAAACGGUUGCUAAUACCGCGUACGCGCAAAGGGGGACAGGUGGGGAACUUCGUUCCUACCGCGAUUGGAUGCGUCCAUGUGGGCUUAGCUAGUUGGUGAGGUAACGGCUCACCAAGGCGACGAUCUCUAGCUGGUCUGAGAGGAUGACCAGCCACAAUGGAACUGAGACACGGUCCAGACUCCUACGGGAGGCAGCAGUGGUGAAUAUUGCACAACGGGGGAAAACCUGAUGCAGCCAUGCCGCGUGUGUGAAGAAGGCCUUCGGGUUGUAAAGCACUUUCAGUCAGGAGGAAGGGGUGAUGGCUAAUAUCCAUCAUCAUUGACGUUACUGACAGAAGAAGCACCGGCUAACUCCGUGCCAGCCGCCGCGGUAA